GACGAACGCUGGCGGCGUGCUUAACACAUGCAAGUCGAGCGGUAAGGCCCUUUCGGGGGUACACGAGCGGCGAACGGGUGAGUAACACGUGGGUGACCUGCCCUCAGCUCUGGGAUAAGCCUGGGGAAACCGGGUCUAAUACCGGAUAUGACUCCAUGACGCAUGUUGUGGGGUGGAAAGCCUUGUGCGGCUGAGGAUGGGCCCGCGGCCUAUCAGCUUGUUGGUGGGGUGAUGGCCUACCAAGGCGACGACGGGUAGCCGGCCUGAGAGGGCGACCGGCCACACUGGGACUGAGACACGGCCCAGACUCCUACGGGAGGCAGCAGUGGGGAAUCUUGCGCAAGUGGGCGAAAGCCUGACGCAGCGACGCCGCGUGAGGGAUGACGGCC
rnacentral:rRNA from 1 species